rnacentral:rRNA from 1 species
GUGGGGAAUCUUGCGCAAUGGGCGAAAGCCUGACGCAGCCAUGCCGCGUGAAUGAUGAAGGUCUUAGGAUUGUAAAAUUCUUUCACCGGGGACGAUAAUGACGGUACCCGGAGAAGAAGCUCCGGCUAACUUCGUGCCAGCAGCCGCGGUAAUACGAAGGGGGCUAGCGUUGCUCGGAAUUACUGGGCGUAAAGGGCGCGUAGGCGGACAGCUUAGUCAGAGGUGAAAGCCCAGGGCUCAACCUUGGAAUUGCCUUUGAUACUGGCUGUCUUGAGUUUGGGAGAGGUGAGUGGAACUCCGAGUGUAGAGGUGAAAUUCGCAGAUAUUCGGAAGAACACCAGUGGCGAAGGCGACUUUCCGGACGAAAACUGACGCUGAGGCGCGAAAGCCAGGGGAGCGAACGGGAUUAGAAACCCUUGUAGUCC